GCUUUAUACCAGCAAGUUAGUGGGGUUAGUUGUAGUAUCUGACUAGCAGAAUGGUAUUUUGUUGGGGUGACAAAGAAAUAAAUAAACUUUCUUUUUAAGAACAAUAAUUAUUGGGUAAGGGAUCCGUGGUUUACGAUUAUAAGUUCAAGU
rnacentral:rRNA from 1 species